rnacentral:lncRNA from 1 species
AUACAGGGUUUUCUAGAAUCGAAAGUUCUCUCUUUUUUCGGAGCCUCCUGUUGGAUAAUUUAUGUUGUGGCCGUCCUGCUUGAGAACACUUCCUUUUUCAAGGGAAAGAUAUUCAACAGUUGAUGUUGCAAGUGAAACACUUCCUUUUUCAAGGGAAAGAUAUUCAACAGUUGAUGUUGCAAGUGAAAUUUUACUGGCCCCUCUAGGUAUUUACAUGUCCAGAGAUAGAUGGGUGUGUGCCGUGCUCUUGCCACCAAUUGGUAAAUAUCCUCUGGUUUAUC